rnacentral:lncRNA from 1 species
GGCACUGGGGGCUGCAGGUCAGGGACUCCCCGGACGUGCUUACGACUUCGCCUGGGAAUGGGAACUACCUAUGCUGUCCCCAAUUCAGUGUCACCGCGUGUACAAGUGUUUCACUGCUGUGUACGGUGUGCACCACAUGCGUGCCUGAGGCCUAAGGAGGCCAGAAGAGUGCAUCACAUUCCCUGAGACUGGAGUUAUAGGUGGCUGUCUUAGUUAGGGUUUUACUGCUGUGAACAGACACCAUGACCAAGCAGAACCAGAGAGGACCGGUUAGAGAUCUGCACAGCUCAGAAGAAGAAAGGGAGGAAAGAAAGGUGGAAUCUCCAUAUACUGUCUGGCCCUAUAGCCUCAGGCUGGCUGGGGAUGCUCCUGCCAUGGCACACUGGCCUUGGAUAAACUGACCCCUGGGCCACCAUGAAACAGCAGCAAGUGCCACCUCUGAGCACAUGCCCUAAGUGUCUACCUAUGUCCUGAUGAGUCACCCAGACUGCUCACCCACUACCCCUGAAGCUCAUCUGCUGGGUCCCCAGCAACUUGGUAUGAUUCACCCUUGUUCUGCAGUUUCUGUCUGAGCCUACUGUGGGGAAAGACUGUUGCUUGGCCUUUGUAAGUAAAGAGCUUGCACGUCUCACUC